CGCACAUUGCGCCCCUUGGUAUUCCAUUGGGCAUGCCUGUUCGAGCGUCAUUUCUCCCCUCAAGCAUUGCUUGGUGUUGGGCGUUUGUCUGCGCUAUCAGCGUAGACUCGCUCUAAAAUCAUUGGCAGCGGUUUGCCGGCCUCUCGCGCAGCACUUUGCGCUCCUCGAGGUUCUGGCGGGCUUGCGUCCAUUAAGACCAUCUUUAAGUUUGACCUCGAAUCAGGUAGGGAUACCCGCUGAACUUAA
rnacentral:misc_RNA from 1 species